UUAUGUCAAAUUUAGCAAGGACAUAUUUAAUUAAAUAAAUAAAGAAUUAGAGAAAAUAUAUAUAAAGGAAGAAAAUGUGUGAUCAAUAAAUAAAUUUAAAAAAAAAUUCUUAAAGUUUUGGAUAUAAAAUAAAAAUUUAAAUGAUUGAAUUACUAAAAAGAAAUUUUAAAAAAAGUUGGAGGACCAAAAUGCCAUUUUUUAAAAGGACAGCCAGGUACCUCUACCCAUGUGGCUGGGUUCCUUCUAGCCAUUAAAAAAAUAAAAAAAAAUAUAGAAGUUUUGGUAGUGAAAAAUAAAAAUUAAAAAGUUCAAGGACUAGAAUGAAAUUUAUUUAAAAAUGAAAACUUUCUUCCAGCUCUGUCACGUGGCAGUAGCUUCUCCAAAAAAAAAGAAGAAAAAAGAAAGAAAAGUGAAAAACAAUCUAGAAACCACUCAACCCAUCCCCAUCUCCAUCUUCCUCUUCUUCCUUUCUCCUUACCGUUGGAAGGAGAAAAUUCUCUACACCACCUUUAUAAUUCUCUACACCACCUUUACACCAAAUACCAUCUUUGCUCCUCCACAAAUAAAUAUUUACUU
rnacentral:lncRNA from 1 species